ACGGGUACUCGAGUGGCGAACGGGUGAGUAACACGUGGGUGAUCUGCCCUUCACUUCGGGAUAAGCCUGGGAAACUGGGUCUAAUACUGGAUAGGACCAUCGUUUAGUGUCGGUGGUGGAAAGUUUUUUCGGUGGAGGAUGAGCUCGCGGCCUAUCAGCUUGUUGGUGGGGUAAUGGCCUACCAAGGCGACGACGGGUAGCCGGCCUGAGAGGGUGGACGGCCACAUUGGGACUGAGACACGGCCCAG
rnacentral:rRNA from 1 species